CUUACAGGCACCACAGACACCUAUCAGCCUUUUGUAAGGAGGAGCAGCUCGAUGAGUGCGAAACCUUCAAUUUAGAAAAGUGAUGGUGAUCUUGUCAAUGCUGAGAUUUUCAUGCAUCAACAGCCACUACAUCUGGAUCAGGAUUGAACAAGAAACAGACAGCAAGGGUUGUCAGGUCAGAAACAGAAUGACACACAAACACAAGAAACUUCACAGGCAGAUCACCAUGCAAUUUGAAGAAGUGUGAUAAAAUACACAGUGUGAUAAAGUCGUGUGUCUUUCCAGAUGCCCAAAUCAUUCCCCCUUGAAAGAUGAGCCUGAAGAGGAGAUUUGGGAAGAUGAUGUUUCAUAAGUCUUUGUUUUGCCAGAUCACCAGUGGUAAGCUUGUAAAA